UAGCUAUCCUCAUCACGUUGUAGCUACAUGUAAUUUCUUUGUUCCCAUUCUAGUCUGUUCCCACUCAAUGAUGACUUCUCCCAUCACUCAAGGAAGACGCCUCAUAACGGCUAACAUCAGGGGUACCCUUGUGUCUUAUCAUGAACGGGGUAGGAAAAGGUGGUCCUCAGCCCUGGUGACGGAGGCUGCUGCAGCUACAGGACUACCUGUGUCUGUAGUUAAGAACUGGAUUGGUAACUAUGGGCGUUCACUUAAUACCUCCUGCACAUCCGGCGCCGCAACGCUGCUGGUUAUAAGCGCAUUGUGUCUGCCUAUAACUUGUUUUGUGCAGAGGUGCUGAAGGGGAAAGGACCUGAGCCCUAGGACCAUGCCUCAGGACUACCUGGCCUGAUGACU